CUGUUGCCUAGCAACUGUCAAAAUGCACUAAAACAGAGCGUUUUAAGUAGAGGGUAAAUACAGGUAUGAACCUGAAAAUGGGCAUAAUAUGGGACCUUUAAACUGGGGAAAGCCCAGCAGACUAGUUCAAACAAAGAAAUCCCACACAGACUGACCUUCACCUUCAUACAGAGAUGUCUCAGUCUUGCAGACGGGAGGGAGCGCAACAUGAACUGUAAAGUCAGCAGAGCGAGCUGGAGGAACCAAUCAAAUCAAAGCUUCGGUUUGGGGGUGAUGACAUCAUUUGCGCCGUGUUCCAACCACAUGGAGAGACGCCAUCUGGAGGGUGCUGACUCAGCACAACACACACACACACAAGUACAAGCACAUCCUCUAGUAUUGUAGCUUGAGAUCAAACAGUAUACUGGUCCCAGUAAAAGCAGACAAGUG